rnacentral:misc_RNA from 1 species
AACGCACAUUGCGCCCGCCAGUACUCUGGCGGGCAUGCCUGUUCGAGCGUCAUUUCAACCCUCAAGCCCCCGGCUUGGUGUUGGGGCCCUGCGGCUGCCGCAGGCCCCGAAAUGGAGUGGCGGGCUCGCGGCGAACUCCGAGCGUAGUAGAAUCCUAUCUCGCUAGGGAGGCGCGGCGCGGUCCGGCCGUUAAAGGAACUUUUUUUAACCCAAGGUUGACCUCGGAUCAGGUAGGAAUACCCGCUGAACUUAA